UUUCCGUAAGUGAACCUGCGGAAGGAUCAUUAUUGAAUGACCGAAGUGCCAGGUCUGUCGCUGACACCAAAGGGCAUGCACGCCCGAGUGCCCUCACAAACAACCAUCCCACCCCUAUGUGCACCACCGCGAGAAUACACAAUUGUCUUGUUCGGAGGGGGGCUCUCGUUUUCCCACAAACAUUGUAUGCGGUGUGAAAUGUAUUUUUUGUAUUUGCGAUCACGCAAUCCAUACCACUUUCAACACCGCUUCUCUUGGCUCUCGCAUCUAUGAAAAACG
rnacentral:misc_RNA from 1 species